rnacentral:rRNA from 1 species
UACGUAGGCAGCGAGCGUUGUCCGGAAUCACUGGGCGUAAAGGGCGUGUAGGCGGCUUGAUAAGCGUGCGGUGAAAGCCCGGGGCUCAACCCCGGGUCGGCCGUGCGAACUGUCGAGCUGGAGCACUGUAGAGGCAGGUGGAAUUCCGGGUGUAGCGGUGGAAUGCGCAGAUAUCAGGAGGAACACCGAUGGCGAAGGCAGGUCUCUGGGCAUUAACUGACGCUGAGGAGCGAAAGCAUGGGGAGCGAACAGG